GAUGAAGAACCUAGCGAAAUGCGAUAAGUAAUGCGAAUUGCAGAAUCCGUGAGUCAUCGAAUCUUUGAACGCACAUUGCGCCCUCUGGUAUUCCGGAGGGCAUGCCUGUUCGAGCGUCAUUAUCACCCCUCAAGCCCGGCUUGUUGUUGGAUGCAGCGCUUAUCACGCUCCUCCCAAAGAUAAUGACGGCGUCUGCGACGACUCCUGUACACUGAGCUUUCGGGCACGUACACGGCUAGAAGUCCAGACCCGGUCGCCGUCCCCCCCGCGGGGACACCCAUUACCACAAGGUUGACCUCGGAUCAGGUAGGAAUACCCGCUGAACUUAAGCAUAUCAAUAAGCGGAGGA
rnacentral:misc_RNA from 1 species